UGCCAGCAGCCGCGGUAAUACGUAAUCCCCAAGCGUUACUCGGAAUUACUGGGUGUAAAGGGUUCGCAGGCGGCUUAAUAAGUUGAAUAUGAAAGACCGAAGCUCAACUUCGUGUUUGUGUUCAAAACUAUUAAGCUAGAAUCAGGAAGAGGUAAGCGGAAUUCUAGGUGUAGGGGUGCAAUCCGUAGAUACCUAGAAGAACACCAAAAGCGAAGGCAGCUUACUGGUACUGUAUUGACGCUGAGGAACGAAAGCGUGGGUAGCGAAAAGGAUUAGAUA
rnacentral:rRNA from 1 species